GUCGGGGGGGGCGGGGGGUCUGCUCCGCCUCCUUCUUCGUCUCCUCGCUCCUCUUCCUCCUGCAGUCAGAUCCAAGUUCUACAGAGUCCUGGUCCACAUCUCUGUGGAAACACAGGUAAUCAUGUGACCCUCAGUCAGCUGAUGAAAACAGGUGAUCAACUCAAUAUGGACUACAAGUCCGUUCAUAGAAACUCUUAUGACUACAGCGGGGUGACGCAGCUCAAGGAAGAACAUUUAUGAUCAUUUCUUCAUGGAAAUACAAUCAGACCAAGGCAGUAAGACAGAAGAACUACCGCAUCUGCAGUUCAAAAUGAUUAAUAUGAUGAUUAUUACUUCAAGGAAAUGAUAAAGAAAUUAUCAUAAAUGUUCUUCCUUGAGCUGCGUCACCCCACUGUAGUCCGUAAUGGACUGGCCUGAGGUCUCGCUACAAACAAGCGGCUGCUGGAAGAAAGUAGGUGAGUUGUGUUUAGUCUCUUUGCUAAAGAAAUUAGUCAAAGUUAAAAAGAUGUUUGGUGGCUAGUACUAUGGCUGGGACCCUAUUUGUACUAACCUCAGUAGAUCAUGGUGUAGUUCCGUUCAGUAACAGAACCUCAUUGGAAAAUUAGCUGAUUUAACUUUACUGUGCUCUUGUUCAACUAUAUUAACUUGACAGCACAUAUAUCCAUACAUGUUAACAAAAUCAUGAUUUUGUUAAUAAUUCUGCUUAAUAAAAACACCUUUACCUCCGCUUAAGUUUAUAUUUUCGUAGGAGUUAGAACAACUCUGAAUAUAGUACUACGGCUGGGACCCUACAUGUACUGUUGAUGAAGUUAGGUGCUGUUCUGAGCAUUAUGUGUGGCUAUAAAGUGCUAUUUUGGUUGAGGUUUGUUUAUGGCUCCUCAGG